rnacentral:rRNA from 1 species
GAUGAACGCUAGCUACAGGCUUAACACAUGCAAGUCGAGGGGAAACGAUAUUGGAAGCUUGCUUCCGAUAGGCGUCGACCGGCGCACGGGUGAGUAACGCGUAUCCAACCUGCCCACCACUUGGGGAUAACCUUGCGAAAGUAAGACUAAUACCCAAUGAUAUCUCAAGAAGACAUCUGAAUGAGAUUAAAGAGUUAUCGGUGAUGGAUGGGGAUGCGUCUGAUUAGCUUGUUGGCGGGGUAACGGCCCACCAAGGCGACGAUCAGUAGGGGUUCUGAGAGGAAGGUCCCCCACAUUGGAACUGAGACACGGUCCAAACUCCUACGGGAGGCAGCAGUGAGGAAUAUUGGUCAAUGGGCGAGAGCCUGAACCAGCCAAGUAGCGUGCAGGAUGACGGCCCUAUGGGUUGUAAACUGCUUUUAUAAGGGAAUAAAGUGAGUCUCGUGAGACUUUUUGCAUGUACCUUAUGAAUAAGGACCGGCUAAUUCCGUGCCAGCCGCCGCCGUAA